rnacentral:rRNA from 1 species
UACGAAGGGGGCGAGCGUUGUUCGGAAUUACUGGGCGUAAAGGGCGCGUAGGCGGGAUGGCAAGUCGGUCGUGAAAUCCCUCGGCUCAACCGAGGAACGUCGAUCGAUACUGCUGUUCUUGAGGAUUGCAGAGGAGACUGGAAUUCCCGGUGUAGCGGUGAAAUGUGUAGAGAUCGGGAGGAACACCGGUGGCGAAGGCGGGUCUCUGGGCAAUUCCUGACGCUGAGGCGCGAAAGCGUGGGGAGCAAACGGG